rnacentral:rRNA from 1 species
GACGAACGCUGGCGGCGUGCUUAACACAUGCAAGUCGAGCGGUAAAGGCCCUUUCGGGGGUACGACGAGCGGCGAACGGGUGAGUAACACGUGGGUGACCUGCCCUCAGCUCUGGGAUAAGCCUGGGAAACCGGGUCUAAUACCGGAUAUGACUCCAUGACGCAUGUUGUGGGGUGGAAAGCCUUGUGCGGCUGAGGAUGGGCCCGCGGCCUAUCAGCUUGUUGGUGGGGNGAUGGCCUACCAAGGCGACGAUCGGUAGCUGGUCUGAGAGGACGACCAGCCACACUGGGACUGAGACACGGCCCAGACUCCUACGGGAGGCAGCAGUGGGGAAUAUUGGACAAUGGGCGCAAGCCUGAUCCAGCGAUGCCGCGUGUGUGAAGAAGGCCUGCGGG